UUGGACCUGAUAUCAGGCAAGAUUACCCGCUGAACUUAAGCAUAUCAAUGACCGGGAGGAA
rnacentral:rRNA from 1 species